rnacentral:rRNA from 1 species
UACGUAGGAUGCAAGCGUUGUCCGGAAUUACUGGGCGUAAAGCGUGCGCAGGCGGCUUUGCAAGACAGAUGUGAAAUCCCCGGGCUUAACCUGGGAACUGCAUUUGUGACUGCAUGGCUGGAGUGCGGCAGAGGGGGAUGGAAUUCCGCGUGUAGCAGUGAAAUGCGUAGAUAUGCGGAGGAACACCGAUGCGAAGGCAAUCCCCUGGGCCUGCACUGACGCUCAUGCACGAAAGCGUGGGGAGCAAACAGGAUG